rnacentral:rRNA from 1 species
CUACGGGCCGCUGCAGUGGGGAAUAUUGGACAAUGGGCGAAAGCCUGAUCCAGCAAUACCGCGUGGACGAUGAAGGCCUUAGGGUUGUAAAGUCCUUUCAAUAGGGAAGAUAAUGACGGUACCUAUAGAAGAAGCACCGGCUAACUCCGUGCCAGCAGCCGCGGUAAUACGGAGGGUGCUAGCGUUGUUCGGAAUUAUUGGGCGUAAAGCGUACGUAGGCUGUUUCGUAAGUCAGUUGUGAAAUCCCAGAGCUUAACUCUGGAACUGCAAUUGAAACUACGGGACUAGAGUGUAAUUGGAGAUGGCAGAAUUUCUAGUGUAGGGGUGAAAUCCGUAGAUAUUAGAAGGAAUACCAGUGGUGAAGACGGCUAUCUUGGUUACAACUGACGCUAAGGUACGAAGGUGUGGGUAGCGAACGGGAUUAGAUACCCCAGUAGUC